GCUUCCCGAGUACUGGGACUAUAGGGCUGCGCCACCAUACCUGGCCUCUGGCUCUUUUUAAAAAUUAAUUUUAUUAAGGUGUGAUUUAUAGACAGCAAAAACAGCUCACCUUAAGGGUAUCUGCUAAUGAGUUUGACAACCAUGUAAAGCAGAACAACUCCCUGAUCUUUUUUUUUUUUUUUUCCAACUCCCUGAUCUUGAUGAAGAAUGUUUCCCUCACCCUGGCAGUUUCCCUGGCCUUGAGUCUUUCAAGUCCCCGCCCCAGCCCAGGAAGUCACGGCUGCGCCUUCUGUGACCGUAGAUAAGAUGGCUCGGGCCGGCCUCACUCUGUGUGGUUUGGGGGAUGUGGGACUUUCCUGGUGUGGUUUUCAGGUUGGCCUCUUUUUCUUGCCGAGCAGGGUCACGCACGCAGCCUACAUCCCCGUCUGCUCUUCCCUGUCCCCUCUGAGAGUCGGUCAGGAGCCUCUGGUCGGGGCUAGAAGGCUGACACCAACAGUAGUGGCUUUAGCAGCCCUCCCGGGCUCUGCCUGCUUAUGAAGAAAUUGUUUCUGUAUUUAAAUUAACAAUGUGAUGAGUUCUUCCUGCAGGGUCGUCACCGUGGUCCUUGCUAGCGCUUGCUGGCAGACUGGCUGCUUCCGCCCGCCCGGCCCAGCCCGGCCUCUAGGGCUGUACCUGGCAUGAUGCUGAGCUUAGAAGCCUGGAAGACCUUGCUCCCUUGAAUUUAGAGCCUGUGCCUUCCUGAGCUCAGACCCCUGGGGAGUCUGGCUUGAGCGGCAGCAGGAGGGCUGGUCAGGGACGGGCCUGGUGGUGCUGGUGGCCUUUCCGGCCCUGACACACCCACAGGAGGGUGGGGGCCCAGACCUGGCCAGGUCCCUCACUUCCUGCAGUGCAGCACAGCCCUCUGGCUCCAGCCGGGCAGCGGCUUCCACGGAACAGAGGCCCAAGGGGUCCAGCGGGGCUCCCCCUGCCAGUGCUGUCCCUGGGGUGUUGGGGGUGGAAGGUGAGUGCCCUGCAGCGCUGCAGGGCAGAAAUUUAAGAGCCAGAGGGCCCCAGAGAGCUCAGCUGGGGUUGGGCCUGAGGAGCCCACCUGCCUCCUGGGCCCACGUCGAGCCCUGCCGCUGUCCCGCGAAGGGGCCUGAGGCUCUCCCCUACGCCUGUCAACCUCCGGGCCUCAGCUCCUGAGCCCCCUCUUCCAUCGGAGACGGAUGCGACGGGGCCGCCUUGCAGCAGCCCUGCAGGGAGCGCUGGUGGGAGCGACCGCCGGUUACCUCAGCCGCCCGGCCUGUGGGCGGAGGAGGGUAAGCCGGUGUAACCCUUGGCUCCAGCCAUUCAGGCAGAGGGCAGCUGGCAGUGCGGGAUUAGCUUCUUCCCAGGUUUGACAAAGGUCCCCGUAGACCAGUUUGACAGCUUCCUGGUGCCCCGGUGAACUGGCCAGGCCGCAUUCUGGGACCAGCACCGGGUCCGAGGUCUCCCGAGGGGUCUGCCCAUUUCUGAUUUUCCAGAACUAUCACCCCAAGGCAAGGUAAGGGGGGCGAGAAGCCGGUGGGUGGGGCCUUCUCCCUCUCCACCCUUCAGAGGAGAAAGCUGAGGCAGGGGUGUGUCCAGGCUCGUGGGAAGGGCACCUCGUAGCCCUGUGAUGCCCCAUCGCCCCGCGGGAGUGGGACAGGAGGGUACACAGGGUGGCAGGUGGGGACACUGUGCCUCUCUCCCUCCCACAGAUGGGCCGCCCAGGGCCCCACGGGGAGAGGAUCUCUGGCACCCAGCUUUCCGGAGCCCCCAACGCCCUUGGUGAUGCCCCUGUUGAUGCCCUUCCUGGCCGGGAGGAUUCAGACCUGGUGCUCUCGGUGACUUUGGCUGUGGCCCUCACCCUGCUCUUCUUCUUGCUGCUGGCCUGGCUGGUGUGGGGCCGGCCUUGCCAAGCCUCCUGCUGACACUGGAAGGGGCUCCCUCCAGCUCUUGGGUUCUGGCUUGGGGACAACCAAGAGUGAAGCCGACAGGACAGCACGGAGCAAGCAGCGGGGAGUGAGCCAGUAUUUUGGACACAGUGAGCAGGACGGGAUGCAGGGAUGCCCUUGGCCGAGGGAGGCUGGUGAUGUCCGGACCGCGGGCUGCUUCCUUCACACUGGACUUUCUCUGAGGUGUCUCCCGUUUGUCCAGGGACCCGUUCUUUGUCCCUUACAUUCCAUCACGCCCUGAUAGUCAGUUUGCUGAAGUUAAUUACCGCAGUGUCUCCGUUCCGGAACACUUCUGUUUGCAAACAGUUCGGUUCAAAAGCAAAAGCGUUCAGCAAAAUUUUGCUUCUUUGCUUCUGGUUGCAAAUUCUACACUGGGAGACAAACAUGACCCCGUCCAGCUUCCCCCCCACACGCAGCGACCUUCCUCAACAUCAUACAGCAAAUGAAGUAAACCGAGGCGCCGCUGCACUUGGGCCCCCGGUCUGUCAGCUUGCUGAA